rnacentral:ncRNA from 2 species
UACUUAUCGAGAGAGGUGGAGGGACUGGCCCUUUGAAGCCCGGCAGCCGCUGACACAGUCAGAAUGGUGCCAAUUCCAGCAGAGUCAUGCACUCUGGCAGAUAAGCA